AUACAUUCUGUUAGCGUGUGUGCAUGGCCAGAUAGUCACCCACGGUACAAGAUAUAAUGCCAAGGAAGUCCAUGAUCAAAAUACAUGAUUACCAUGAAAUCUUCGUGCACCUAAAGGGGAAAGUACAUUGUUGUCUUCUUGCGUGCACUUGGGCUAAACAUUGCACGACACUCGAGGCUGUCAAGUCAAGGAGUUUCACCUCAUUAAACAGGUUCCCCUUCACUGAGAGAUCAAAGCCUGAACAAGUCACGAUAUGAACCAGUGUUUGACAUUUGACAGCCGGUCCCAAAGAUGACAUGCCCCAUACCUUACUGAUCAACUACGCUAAAGCUAUUGAUCACUAGUGGCAUUCUAUUACACCGAUUGGUUUUGGCUUACCUGUAGUGUGCGUGUAUUAGUAUAUGAACUACAUGAUUUCCUUUCGUGUAUGCACCAUUUUAGAUUCUAAAAG
rnacentral:lncRNA from 1 species